GAUGAACGCUGACAGAAUGCUUAACACAUGCAAGUCAACUUGAACUUCGGUUUGGGUGGCGGACGGGUGAGUAACGCGUAAAGAACUUGCCUCACAGCUAGGGACAACAUUUGGAAACGAAUGCUAAUACCUGAUAUUAUGAUUAUAUGGCAUCGUAUAAUUAUGAAAGCUAUAUGCGCUGUGAGAGAGCUUUGCGUCCCAUUAGCUAGUUGGAGAGGUAACAGCUCACCAAGGCGAUGAUGGGUAGCCGGCCUGAGAGGGUGAUCGGCCACAAGGGGACUGAGACACGGCCCGUACGCCUACGGGAGGCAGGAGUGGAGAAUAUUGGACAAUGGACCGAGAGUCUGAUCAAGCAAUUCUGUGUGCACGAUGAAGUUUUUCGGAAUGUAAAGUGCUUUCAGUUGGGAAGAAAAAAAUGACGGUACCAACAGAAGAAGUGACGGCUAAAUACGUG
rnacentral:rRNA from 1 species